rnacentral:rRNA from 1 species
UAGUCCACGCCGUAAACGAUGUCAACUAGGUGUAGGGGGUGUUGAUCCCUUCUGUGCCGCAGCUAACGCAUUAAGUUGACCGCCUGGGGAGUACGGUCGCAAGAUUAAAACUCAAAGAAAUUGACGGGGGCCCGCACAAGCGGUGGAGUAUGUGGUUUAAUUCGAUGCAACGCGAAGAACCUUACCUGGUCUUGACAUCUCGGGAAUCUCUUGGAAACAUGAGAGUGCCUUCUUUGAAGGAGCCCGAUGACAGGUGCUGCAUGGCUGUCGUCAGCUCGUGUCGUGAGAUGUUGGGUUAAGUCCCGCAACGAGCGCAACCCUUGCCUUUAGUUGCCAGCAGUUCGGCUGGGCACUCUAAAGGGACUGCCGGUGUCAAACCGGAGGAAGGUGGGGAUGACGUCAAGUCCUCAUGGCCUUUAUGACCAGGGCUACACACGUACUACAAUGGCCGAAACAAAGGGCAGCGACAGGGCGACCUGAAGCGAAUCCCAUAAAUUCGGUCUCAGUCCGGAUUGG